UUGAAGAAGAUGAAGAGAUUGCAAAGGGUUUGUAUGCAUGCAUUGCAAGGUUAGUCCCGGAUGUCAAAGACCAAGACAAAAUUACUGAGGAGCUGUCCUUAUAUUCUAAAGCUGAGGGCCUCUUUGGUAAUCCCUUUACUAUUAGACAGAGAAGUACACGAGGACCAGCUAAUUGGUGGGAAGCUUAUGGCAAGUCAACAAAACUUCUCCAAAAGUUUGCUAUAAAGGUUUUAAGCCUUACUUGCAGUUCUUCUGGUUGUGAACGAAAUUGGAGCGUGUUUGAGCAUCUUCAUAACAAGAAAAGAAAUAGGCUCGCUCAAACAACUUUGAAUGAUUUAGUGUUCAUCAAAUAUAAU